CGCAAAUUAUAGCAAGGCACGUUUACAGUUGAUUCUAGAUUGUCUGAUGGUAAAACAGUUCAAAAUAAAGUUAGAAACAAGCUUGCUGUAAUUACAAAAUAAAUGUUUUAAUUUGAUGUUUGCUGGUAGCGUAGUUAAGUCUAUGUUGUACUUAUCUCGGAUAUCAUUAAAUAAUGUUGUUCGUAAUUGUUCAUAGCGUUCACAAAACAGCAAGAGAUGGGAUUCGUCCUCUAUUGAUUGAGACUUGCACAUUUUACAAAGGCGUUGGUCAAGUGGCACAUUACGAAAUCUGCCCUUUUCGAUUUCUAAAUGUAAAGUUCCGCUUCGCAUCCGGGCUAUCACUGAUCGUUGUUGUCUUGAUAAACACUUUUUCAAGUAUGGCUCUACAUUGUAGUCAGCUUUAAUGUUUUUAUAUGUUCGUAAUUUAGGCAUAUCUUCCAGUGCUUUUAGCCAUUCCUGUUGAUGCAGUUCAACGAGUUUGCUCUUAACACAAGAUACGAUAUGAUCCGUUGGUUGUCGUUCUGAGUUUUGGUUGAAAUACACAUCUUGUAGACCAC
rnacentral:lncRNA from 1 species